GGUCGGGUGGCGCAAUGGUAGCGCGUUACUUUCCGGUUACAGCAACUCUCUCAGUUGGUAAAGGCUCUGGGUUCGAGUCCCAGCUCGAUCG